rnacentral:rRNA from 1 species
CCUACGGGAGGCUGCAGUGGGGAAUAUUGGACAAUGGGCGAAAGCCUGAUCCAGCCAUGCCGCGUGUGUGAAGAAGGCCUUCGGGUUGUAAAGCACUUUCAGUGGGGAAGAAAGCCUUGGGGCUAAUACCCUCGAGGAAGGACAUCACCCACAGAAGAAGCACCGGCUAACUCCGUGCCAGCAGCCGCGGUAAUACGGAGGGUUCGAGCGUUAAUCGGAAUUACUGGGCGUAAAGCGCGCGUAGGCGGUCUGAUAAGCCGGUUGUGAAAGCCCCGGGCUCAACCUGGGAACGGCAUCCGGAACUGUCAGGCUAGAGUGCAGGAGAGGAAGGUAGAAUUCCCGGUGUAGCGGUGAAAUGCGUAGAGAUCGGGAGGAAUACCAGUGGCGAAGGCGGCCUUCUGGACUGACACUGACGCUGAGGUGCGAAAGCGUGGGUAGCAAACAGGAUUAGAUACCCUAGUAGUC